AAUGGACGAAAGUCUGAACCAGCCAUGCCGCGUGCAGGAGGACUGCCCUAUGGUUGUAAACUGCUUUUAUUUGGGAAGAAACUGACGGUACCAAACGAAUAAGGACCGGCUAACUCCGUGCCAGCAGCCGCGGUAAUACGGAGGGUCCAAGCGUUAUCCGGAUUUAUUGGGUUUAAAGGGUUCGUAGGCGGGAUAUUAAGUCAGUGGUGAAAACCUGCAGCUCAACUGCAGACCUGCCAUUGAUACUGGUAUUCUUGAAUCUCGUUGAGGUAGGCGGAAUGUGUCAUGUAGCGGUGAAAUGCAUAGAUACGACACAGAACACCGAUUGCGAAGGCAGCUUACUAAACUAGUAUUGACGCUAAUGAACGAAAGCGUGGGGAGCGAACAGGAUU
rnacentral:rRNA from 1 species